GUCGCUGAUGUGAAGGCUCAUUCGUUUAAAGCUGCACAUUAAUGAUGUCACAGCAGAAACUCUGUCAGAAAUGGACUGGAAUUCUAUUUUCACACAGACGAAGAAAACCUCACUUUAGAAAAACACAAACAACACAUCAUUAAAAUGUGGGCCGGUGUGACUCAAAGGCUUUUUCAUGUGUUAUCUGUUCUAAACUUCACAGACACAGCAGGCCGCUGAGAACUGAAGAAAAAAGGUGAGACGUGAAAAAAAAGUGAUCAGUGAUGCUUUUGUGAACACAAUAAAAAGUGGAACACCAGCGUUACACUGCUGCUCGUCUCCCACAUGUUACUUCAGGUGAUGCUGCAGUACAGCAGCUCUCCACAUGUUUCUGCUGCCAUGUAAAAUUAAAGCUGUUCCACAGAACAGAGGUCAGAACCAGGACCCUGAGGACGACCCUCCACUGGAACUCUGGACCUCUCAGGUACUGACAGCUUGUGCAGCAAACUCCACCUGAACCCAGCAGCACUCUGGACGACCCAGUAUGUCUGAACCCUCCUACUGCAGACAUCCUGCCCUGCACACAGACAGCCUGCUCUGCCUGCCUGAUACCGGCUUGUUGGAGCAGCAGAGGAGGAGAGAGACGGUAACUGACUCCGGGUUUCUCUAGACUGGAAUCUCUUCCUGAACAGAAUAAAGCAGAAAAACAGCUCAACAGCUGAAAUAAACAACCUGCUGAGAAGCAGCAUCAUGGUCAA